CUCCAUAGAUCUAGGAUGCUGGAAUGCACUUAGAUUGAAAGCUCCGGCGCCUAAGGAUGAGUCUGCGGACUAUCAGGUAGUAGUCAGGGUAAAGACCUGACUAGCCUACGACGGAUACGGGUUGUGAGAGCAAUAACCCGGAGACGAUAUCUGAGACACGAUAUCGGGCCCUACGGGGCGCAGCAGGCGCGAAAACUUCACACUGUGCGAAAGCACGAUGAGGGAAUCCCAAGUGCCGACUCGUAAGAGUUGGCUGUUUCUCUGUCUAAAAAACAGAGAGAGUAAGAGCUGGGUAAGACGGGUGCCAGCCGCCGCGGUAAUACCUGCAGCUCAAGUGGUGGCCACUAUUAUUGGGCCUAAAACGUCCGUAGCCGGUUUAAUAAAUGCCGGGGUAAAUCGUGUAGCUUAACUAUACGAAUUCCGGGUAGACUGUUAGACUUGAGACCGGGAGAAGCUAGAGGUACUCCUGGGGUAGAGGUGAAAUUCUGUAAUCCUAGGGGGACCACCAGUGGCGAAGGCGUCUAGCUAGAACGGGUCUGACGGUGAGGGACGAAGCCCUGGGGCGCGAACCGGAUUAGAUACCCGGGUAGUCCAGGGUGUAAACGCUGCUUGCUUGAUGUUAGUUGGGCUCCGAGCCCAAUUAGUGUCGGAGAGAAGUUGUUAAGCAAGCUGCCUGGGAAGUACGGCCGCAAGACUGAAACUUAAAGGAAUUGGCGGGGGAGCACAGCAACGGGUGGAGC
rnacentral:rRNA from 1 species